GGUGGCUCAAUGGUAGAGUGCUUGCCUUAAAUGUAUGAGGCCCUGGGUUCGAUUCCUCAGCACCA
rnacentral:tRNA from 1 species